GCUGGGUGUGGCAGUCCACGCCUGUAGUCUCAGCUACUCAGGAGGCUGAGGCAGGAGGAUCUCUUGAGCCCAGGAGGUUAAAACUGCAGUGAGCUGUGACUAUGCCACUGCAUUCCAGCCUGGGCAACAAAGUGAGAUCCUGUUUCCA
rfam:Pan troglodytes isolate Yerkes chimp pedigree #C0471 (Clint) chromosome 1, whole genome shotgun sequence.